rnacentral:lncRNA from 1 species
AAAACACAGCAGGCAACAUUGUUUCAAAGCAUGGGGCAAACCACAAGGAAAGAAACCAACCGAAAAGUGACCAAAUAAACGAUCAAACCACUGCAGGAAGAAAUACAGUGUGAUCAAGAACAAGGUAGCAUAGGGAAGAAAAGAGGAAGCAUAAAAGAGGUUCCUGCAGACAAACAAAAUCCCAAAACAUGCACAAAAAGGAAACACGCCCAUCCUAACAGUCUGCAGCUUGAGGCGGAUGGAAAAUAUCGGUCAACAACUCCAGGCAGUCCACCAUUGAAACUUGGUUGUGAACUUGUAACCAACGGGACGUGUUAUCCCGAUUAUCCAAGCAAGCUCAAUUACGGCGGGUGAAAAGUCGUGUUCAACCAUUCCGUACAUUCAUUAGACGAGACCAUCUUGUGCGCUUGAAACCAUCUAGGUCAUAUGUUGAAUGCAGACGAUGUUGAGGCCGCCUCAAAUAGAAAACCAACCCCACUGAGAAUUCUAGUCCAUAAAAGCAAAUCAACAACACGGGUCUCAAGAACAUCAUUGGAAGCCUACACAAAUCAACCAAGUCAUUCGAAAUUCAAACGAUACCUGAGGUAUCUCCAUCAUGG